rnacentral:rRNA from 1 species
ACGGAAGGCAGCAGUGGGGAAUAUUGGACAAUGGGGGAAACCCUGAUCCAGCGACGCCGCGUGAGUGAAGAAGUAUUUCGGUAUGUAAAGCUCUAUCAGCAAGGAAGAAAAUGACGGUACUUGACUAAGAAGCUCCGGCUAAAUACGUGCCAGCAGCCGCGGUAAUACGUAUGGAGCAAGCGUUAUCCGGAUUUACUGGGUGUAAAGGGAGCGUAGACGGCGAAGCAAGUCUGAAGUGAAAUGCCGGGGCUUAACCCCGGAACUGCUUUGGAAACUGUUUUGCUAGAGUGCUGGAGAGGUAAGCGGAAUUCCUAGUGUAGCGGUGAAAUGCGUAGAUAUUAGGAGGAACACCAGUGGCGAAGGCGGCUUACUGGACUGUAACUGACGUUGAGGCUCGAAAGCGUGGGGAGCAAACAGGAUUAGAUACCCUGGUA